rnacentral:rRNA from 1 species
CUACGGGAGGCUGCAGUGGGGAAUAUUGCACAAUGGGCGCAAGCCUGAUGCAGCCAUGCCGCGUGUAUGAAGAAGGCCUUCGGGUUGUAAAGUACUUUCAGCGGGAAGGAAGGGAGUAAAGUUAAUACCUUUGCUCAUUGACGUUACCCGCAGAAGAAGCACCGGCUAACUCCGUGCCAGCAGCCGCGGUAAUACGGAGGGUGCAAGCGUUAAUCGGAAUUACUGGGCGUAAAGCGCACGCAGGCGGUUUGUUAAGUCAGAUGUGAAAUCCCCGGGCUCAACCUGGGAACUGCAUCUGAUACUGGCAAGCGUGAGUCUCGUAGAGGGGGGUAGAAUUCCAGGUGUAGCGGUGAAAUGCGUAGAGAUCUGGAGGAAUACCGGUGGCGAAGGCGGCCCCCUGGACGAAGACUGACGCUCAGGUGCGAAAGCGUGGGGAGCAAACAGGAUUAGAUACCCCCGUAGUC